rnacentral:rRNA from 1 species
UGGGCAACCUGCCCCUCUCUCUGGGAUAACCCCGGGAAACCGGAGCUAAUACCGGAUACUCCGGCUGGAUCGCAUGGUCCGGCCGGGAAAGGUCCGCCGGAGAGGGAUGGGCCCGCGGCCUAUCAGCUUGUUGGUGGGGUCAUGGCUCACCAAGGCGACGACGGGUAGCUGGUCUGAGAGGACGACCAGCCACACUGGAACUGAGAUACGGUCCAGACUCCGUACGGGAGGCA